rnacentral:rRNA from 1 species
GGCUUAGAGUUUGAUCAUGGCUCAGGAUGAACGCUGGCGGCGUGCUUAACACAUGCAAGUCGAACGGAGAGCGUAUGACAGAGGAUUCGUCCAAUGGAUUUAGUUUCUUAGUGGCGGACGGGUGAGUAACGCGUGAGGAACCUGCCUCGGAGUGGGGAAUAACACAACGAAAGCUGUGCUAAUACCGCAUGAUGCAGCUGGGUCGCAUGACUCUGGCUGCCAAAGAUUUAUCGCUCUGAGAUGGCCUCGCGUCUGAUUAGCUGGUUGGCGGGGUAACGGCCCACCAAGGCGACGAUCAGUAGCCGGACUGAGAGGUUGGCCGGCCACAUUGGGACUGAGACACGGCCCAGACUCCUACGGGAGGCAGCAGUGGGGAAUAUUGGGCAAUGGGCGCAAGCCUGACCCAGCAACGCCGCGUGAAGGAAGAAGGCCCUCGGGUUGUAAACUUCUUUUGUCAGGGACGAAGCAAGUGACGGUACCUGACGAAUAAGCCACGGCUAACUACGUGCCAGCAGCCGCGGUAAUACGUAGGUGGCAAGCGUUAUCCGGAUUUACUGGGUGUAAAGGGCGUGUAGGCGGGAUUGCAAGUCAGAUGUGAAAACCACGGGCUCAACCUGUGGCCUGCAUUUGAAACUGCAGUUCUUGAGUACUGGAGAGGCAGAUGGAAUUAAGCC